AAAAAACUGGGCGAUCUGGCUGGGACAUCUGUCACCCCACUGAUCGCUAGGGUUGAUUAGGCUGAUUUGGCUAGCUAGGUGGGUGUCCCCUUCCUCUCAUCGCUCCAUUUGCACCCCUCCCUGAAGCUGCAUGCUCAGUGGAAGAGGACGACCAUCCCCAACAGAGGAUAUAUGGGUAGCUGCACUUCCCUGCUAGAACCUCCAAACAAGCCCUCAAGGUCCAUAAUAAAAACUCAUCAAAUUAGAAAUAAAAGGAAAAUUUCUCAAUCUGAUUAAGGGUGAUUGU
rnacentral:snRNA from 1 species